rnacentral:lncRNA from 1 species
CACAGGCCCAGACAGAAUCAUGAGCUGAUGCAGAGAAGAUUUCAGCAUUCGGGAAUAUCUGAAGAGUCAGGCUUUGCAGUGCUUCCACUGAUCAGCAUCUGAGGAAAGCUCUGGAAUACUCCAUGCCUUGAAUGCAUAUAGAACACAGUCUCAGAUAUUAGAAACAAUUCAACUAUCAUGUUCAACUGCUACAAGGAUCCACGAUUCCAAGAGUCAGUGAGUUGCUCUCUCUCCCUUUAACACAGCUGUGAAGUCCACUGAAUAUCCAGCCAAGUGUACUUGUGAAUUUCUUCCCCUCUCAUGCCAGUGAGAGGACCUGGUUUCAGCCUAGUGGUAUGAUGUACUUGCUCAUCAGCUUUCAGGUUUAACAAGGGAAAACAAUCUACCCCUCAAAUUGUAGAAGCUUUCUUUCCAGGGGAACUAGACAAUCCUGAUGGCUCUCUCCAGUUACAUAGCAAUUAUAUAAUUGCUAAGCUUCUGCAGAAUCACUGGAACCAUUCUGCAGGCUUCUACCAACUACAGCUGCAGCACAAUGUUCCGAGAUGAUUGCAGGCUUUGAAUGGAUGGCCGGUCUCAAAUCUGAGCACAAAGGGACAUACAAUGGGAUUCCAUCUCAAGCACAAAGAUGCUCCUGCCUAAUGAAGCCCUUUCUCCUCCUCCCAGUCUGUGCAGUAAACUCUUUCCUUU